rnacentral:sRNA from 1 species
GUUUGUAAAGUACUAAAUAUUCUCAGUAUUUAAAAUAGGUAUGAACAUGUAAAACGAUAUCAAACUAAACUACGAAUAAUAUGUAUAGUGUUUUUUAUUACAGACAACUGUAUAUCGCUGUUAAAUUAUCUAGUUAUGCCAGUUGAUAUAUUAAAAAGUUAGAUGAAAGUCUACUCGCAGAAUCGUAUGUUAUGAUAUAUGAAAUUUUGAUUCUGUAUAACUUGGCCUAAGAAAGAGGCUAAGAGGCAUAUUAAACAUCAAAAGA